UCUAUACCCUGCUUCUGAACCUUGGU
rnacentral:piRNA from 1 species